AUUUAACCCUGUCCUUAGCCCUGUUAUAUAACCUAGGAGAAAGGCUGGCUGCAACUCCGGGAGCAUGAGUAGCCCAAUUCAGAAUUCAGGGCCCAAGCUCCCCACUGAUGGAAAGAUACAAAGAAACUACUUGCCAGAAGCCAGGACCAAUUUGGCAGAGUCUACUCAAAACAGUGAGUUUUAGAAAUUGACAAGAUUAUUCUAAACUCCAUAAGGAAAUGCAAGAGACCCAGAAGAGCCAAACAGUGUUGAAAAAGAAGAAAGUUGGAGAACUCACAUUUUCCAAUUUCAAAACCUACCGCAAAGUUAUAGUAGUCAAGACAGUAUUGUGCUGGCAUAAGGAUAGACAUAUAUAUCAACAGAAUAGAAUUGCAGGUUCAGAAAUACAUCCAUAACUUAUGGGCAACUGAUAUUCAACAAACAUGCCAAUACAAUUUAGUGGGGCAAAAAUAAUCUUUCCGACAAAUGACACUAGGACAACUGAAUAUCCACUUGCACAAGAAUGAACUCUUAACCUCAUAGCAUAUACCAUCGGAACUCAAAAUGGAUCAUAGACCUAAUUAUAAGAGCUAAAACUAUACUUUUUUAUCUUUCUACCUUGUCUAAAUAUACUUUUAUAAUAACAAAUUGGGAAAUAUGGUUAAACUUAUGGUUUUCUGUUAUUGAAUGUCAUCAAAUUGAUGAAUAACAAAUUGAUUGAAUAUCAAAGUUGAUUGAGCUUAAUUAAGUAUUAUUGUGUAUGUCUGUGUAUCCUGUUGAUAGACUGGCAAUAUUUGGGCAAGUAAUAAAAGAAAGACAUACAUAAUUUAUAAAUUAUUGCAUACUAUAUUAGUUUGCUAGGGCUGCUAUAACAAAGUACCACCAACUGAGUGGCUUAAACAACAGAAAUUUGUUAUCUCACAAUUUUAGAGACCGGAGGUCCACGAUCAAAGCAUUGACAAGGCCAUGCUCCCUCUGAAGGAGCUAGAAAAGAUCUGUCUCAUGCUCCUACUGGAAAGUAUAAUUCCAAUCGUCACCUAGAGUUAUCCCUUCAUGUUUGUCUCUGUGUUCAAAUUUCCCGUUUUAAUAAGGACACCAGUCAUAUAGGAUUCACAGUUCACCCUACUCUGGUAUUAUCUCACUUUACCUUAACUAAUCAUAUCUGCAAUGAUUCUAUUUCCAAAUAAGGUCAUAUUCUGAGUUACUGGGGUUUAGGAUUUCAACCUGUAAAUUUUAGGAGCAGGGGACACAAUUCAACUCAUCACACAUGCUUAUUCCAUGAGAUUAGUUUUCUUCCCUUAAUUUCAACAAAAUAACUAAAUGUGUUUUUAUAAUCAAUAUUUUUACAUAAAUUGUAUUUUAUUGUAAAAUGGCCUGAGGAAUUAAAAAAUAAAAAAGUAUAAGGUCAUAAAAUUUGCAUAAAUUUUAUAAAAAUAUAAGUUAAAAUAAAUGUAAAAUUUAACAAUUAUUUUUAUAUUUUAAAAAGUUA
rnacentral:lncRNA from 10 species